rnacentral:lncRNA from 1 species
GCCUCUGUGCACUCCUGCUUCCGUCUCCAGCUCCUAGGCUCAGGGGCCUUGCCAGGCUCUGCCUGGAGUCUAGCCUCUGUGCCUGGGUAGAAAUUGCCCUGGGAAGGGAGCUGUGGCAUCUGCAGUGUGUCCUUCCCCCUGGAUCACAGCCUUCACCCACCCGCGCCUGUAGACAGGUACCUGUGCGUUCCGUCCAGUGUUUGACUGUUUAGGGCAGACGUGCUAGUCCAGGACUAGGCCCCCAUUCUAGUCAGCAGCAGAACCUUGAGGGAAUUCACACCUUUAUUUUGUAUUGAUUCCCUUGUUAGAGCCAAUAUGUGUCACUUUUUAAUUUGAAAAUCGUGAAAUAGCGAUGGGAACGUUGGUAAAUCUGUGGCCUGCCUUUUGCAGGUACAACUCUGCCCGACUGCUCAGACCGACCGCUCUUGCUCAGCACUCUGAGGGGCAGGAGUGGGUGCAGCCAAAUCUGCGUUUUCUCCUGAAGUCUGCUGCAGGGAGAGAGUGAGGGCCGCGCACCUCCAGGGAGGGGACGCAAGCAAACAUAAGCUCAGUUUUGACGCCUGUUCGUCACCCUUUAAAGAGCGCAUUCAGAGCUUAUGUGAUGCUCAUUUUGGCUUUAGUCAUUGGGCGUCUGAGCCCACACUCGGCGUUUGGAGGCUUGGUUUGGAGAUUCCGACAGACCUUGGCUAAGGCCCAUCCAAAGAAGCAGGAAAGGCCAGAAGCCCCAUCUCAGAGAGGCCGCUGCCCAUCAGUGUCAGUGCCCUGAGCUGGCCGUGGAGGGUUGUCACUGGGCUCUCUGCAAGGAGACCAACCACUGCCAUGAGGGCAAGACCCCCUGGGCAGGGAUGGUCAUCUGGCAACACCACUGGCCUGAUGUCCACGGGGAGAAGAGGGGCCACGGGGCAGCAUGGGCCGCUGAGCUCCAGGCUCUUUCUGGGUUGUGGGCUCACAGGGGGCCAGCAGGAGGGCGUGCUGGCCUGGUGGCCGGGCCCUCCCACUGUGGUGGGGUUUGCUGUGUGCCCAACCAGAGCCCUCUGUAGGGGUGGAGUAGUCCCUCGCUUCCAUGGCAGCCACUGUCAGCCAAAGUGGCCGGCUGAUUGGAGAGUGUGGCCCCAAGGUGGGGCUUCGGCCUCAGCGGGCUCAGGGAGGGCUGGAGCCUCAGCAGAGGAAGCCCGGUCAGGGUGGGGAGGGCUCAGGGCAGCAGCUCGUUCUGGAAUGAGGGUGGAGCUUUGGAGUUUAGGGAGAGGCAGGGGCUCCUGAGCUGGCCUGGUAGGGCUGUGCCUGGGGGUGGGGGAUGUGAGGGAGGCGUGGCACGGCUCUGGGGGGCGCCCUGCAGCCCAGGAUCCAGACUGACCUUCGGAAAUGUUCACUUGUGCUGUUGUAUGGGAAAGGAUGGAGUCCAGGAAGGAGGAGACUGUGGCGGGAGCCCAGGGACCAGCUGGCAACAGUGAGGAGGGGCUUGGCAGCCCCUCCUCAGCUGCCUCUUCCACCUGGGCUCUCUGGGAUUCCAACUGGGCAUCUGCUUUCCAGCACUUGCCUCCCUCCACAGUCUCCUCAUGGUUUUCUUGAAAACGUCAGUGCACGCCCUCCCUACCCUCCCUGUCCCAAACCGUCUGAGUGGUCCAGUCAUUGUGGCUGGAGCUCCAGUCACCACCCGCAGCUGCCCCAUCAGGUCCCAGGUCCCCGUGUCUUCCCCAUCAGGCCCUGCCUGGACACGUGGCCCCAUGUCCUGGUGAUUCUCAAACCACCUGCGUUCUAGGUUGUUCCCUCUCAGCUGGACCGUGGCAGUGGCCUCUCCUUAAAUAGACAAAACACUGGAAAAAGCCUUUUAAUUUUCAAUGAAAAAUCAAUUUAUGAUCAUUUUGGAGAAAUUAGAACAGAAAGGUUAGCAAAAAGCUGGAGCUAAAAUAUAUCCGUGGUCUGGAUCAGCACUGCUGAUAAUUGCUUCUUGGUGCCCUGGUCUUGUGCCCUGUCUUUGGACACAUGUUAUAUUUUAAUACCCGGCACAGUGCUCUGUACCAGGAUGCUGGGGAUGGCAGAGGUGGCGAGGGUGGGCCUGGUCAGAAGCAAGUGGGAGCCUUUGCAUGCUGCCUGCCUGCUGGUGUCUCCGGCGCCGAGAUGGGGCCCUGAUGGACUAUAGUGACCGACUCCAGGGCACAGACGGCGUUCAGCCCUGCACGUCUCCUGAUCCCAGACUCACAGCCUUUCUCAGCCUUUCUUAGCCCCUACGCACAUUCCCUCCAGUUGGCGUUCAGGCGUCUGAGUGGUCCCCCACUUCAGAGCCACCUCAGAGGCCCUAUCAGUCUUCUCUGUGGCAGUCAGGUCUUUUCUACCAUGAAAACCAUUGCAAACACUAUCUUUGUUCAUAUUCUUGACUGUGUCCUUAAGACGGCUGGACAGCUGUUGAGGGGAGCAGGGAAGCAGAGGCCCCAUCACAUGCUAAGACUAGUGGCAAACCGCAGCAGACAAGUCUCAAGAGAAACGUUUGUCCACAGGGUUCGAUGUGGGGUCUGGUGGCCCUGCAAAGCAGAUCUGGGGCCCUUUGGGUCAUGCCUGGUGUCCAGACCUCCCUGCUCCUCCAGCAUGCUUUGGUGCUCUAGCCAGUGGCCUUCUAGAACCUUCCCACAUUCCUGAACUUCAGUAGUAGUGCCCUCCUCCCUCUUCUCCAUCACUCCAGUUCU